GACGAACGCUGGCGGCGUGCUUAACACAUGCAAGUCGAGCGGUAAGGCCCUUUCGGGGGUACACGAGCGGCGAACGGGUGAGUAACACGUGGGUGACCUGCCUUUAGCUCUGGGAUAAGCCUGGGAAACCGGGUCUAAUACCGGAUAUGACUCCGCGGCGCAUGUUGUGGGGUGGAAAGCCUUGUGCGGCUGGAGAUGGGCCCGCGGCCUAUCAGCUUGUUGGUGGGGUGAUGGCCUACCAAGGCGACGACGGGUAGCCGGCCUGAGAGGGCGACCGGCCACACUGGGACUGAGACACGGCCCAGACUCCUACGGGAGGCAGCAGUGGGGAAUCUUGCGCAAUGGGCGAAAGCCUGACGCAGCGACGCCGCGUGAGGGAUGACGGCCUCGGUUGUAACGUAC
rnacentral:rRNA from 1 species